AUGGUAUGGUAUGGAUUACAGGCCAAUCCUACUCUAUUAGUAUCCGUAGGCAGCAUAGGGAGAAAAGCACUACACCUAGAAAUAGGAAUCAACAAGAGAAAAACUUUGUUAGAAAUUACCCCUUUCCUGAUCGGUAUCAGGGCUGGGAAGAAUGGUUGGGAUAACAAACAACCAUCAGGUUUGUACUUUGGAUACCCCUAUAACCAUCAAAGAUCGUUGAAGUAG
rnacentral:rRNA from 1 species